rnacentral:lncRNA from 1 species
GUGUAUUCUUAAACAAGUAUUAUUUUUCUCUCGUUUUUAGCAAUGUAUCACUCUCUACUGUCCUUAUCUAUUAUUCUAUAUUCUGCGUUUCCAUCCAGAUUCUCGUGUAUACCAAGAGGGUCCGGAUUGGGGGUAUUGUUUAUUUCUGUAUUCUUUAAAUUGUUAUGUCAUUUUUUUUUCUACAUUUUAUUUAUCUUACUCAUUAUUCUUUCUUUAUUUUUCAUAUUUUGUCAUCCCAAUAUAUUUAAC